rnacentral:rRNA from 1 species
GACGAACGCUGGCGGCGUGCUUAACACAUGCAAGUCGAACGGAAAGGCCCUGCUUUUGUGGGGUGCUCGAGUGGCGAACGGGUGAGUAACACGUGAGUAACCUGCCCUUGACUUUGGGAUAACUUCAGGAAACUGGGGCUAAUACCGGAUAGGAGCUCCUGCUGCAUGGUGGGGGUUGGAAAGUUUCGGCGGUUGGGGAUGGACUCGCGGCUUAUCAGCUUGUUGGUGGGGUAGUGGCUUACCAAGGCUUUGACGGGUAGCCGGCCUGAGAGGGUGACCGGCCACAUUGGGACUGAGAUACGGCCCAGACUCCUACGGGAGGCAACAGUGGGGAAUAUUGCACAAUGGGCGGAAGCCUGAUGCAGCAACGCCGCGUGCGGGAUGACGGCCUUCGGGUUGUAAACCGCUUUCGCCUGUGACGAAGCGUGAGUGACGGUAAUGGGUAAAGAAGCACCGGCUAACUACGUGCCAGCAGCCGCGGUGAUACGUAGGGUGCGAGCGUUGUCCGGAUUUAUUGGGCGUAAAGGGCUCGUAGGUGGUUGAUCGCGUCGGAAGUGUAAUCUUGGGGCUUAACCCUGAGCGUGCUUUCGAUACGGGUUGACUUGAGGAAGGUAGGGGAGAAUGGAAUUCCUGGUGGAGCGGUGGAAUGCGCAGAUAUCAGGAGGAACACCAGUGGCGAAGGCGGUUCUCUGGGCCUUUCCUGACGCUGAGGAGCGAAAGCGUGGGGAGCGAACAGGCUUAGAUACCCUGGUAGUCCACGCUGUAAACGGUGGGUACUAGGUGUGGGGUCCAUUCCACGGGUUCCGUGCCGUAGCUAACGCUUUAAGUACCCCGCCUGGGGAGUACGGCCGCAAGGCUAAAACUCAAAGGAAUUGACGGGGCCCCGCACAAGCGGCGGAGCAUGCGGAUUAAUUCGAUGCAACGCGUAGAACCUUACCUGGGUUUGACAUGGAUCGGGAGUGCUCAGAGAUGGGUGUGCCUCUUUUGGGGUCGGUUCACAGGUGGUGCAUGGCUGCCGUCAGCUCGUGUCGUGAGAUGUUGGGUUAAGUCCCGCAACGAGCGCAACCCUUGUUCACUGUUGCCAGCACGUUAUGGUGGGGACUCAGUGGAGACCGCCGGGGUCAACUCGGAGGAAGGUGGGGAUGACGUCAAGCCAUCAUGCCCCUUAUGUCCAGGGCUUCACGCAUGCUACAAUGGCUGGUACAGAGAGUGGCGAGCCUGUGAGGGUGAGCGAAUCUCGGAAAGCCGGUCUCAGUUCGGAUUGGGGUCUGCAACUCGACCUCAUGAAGUCGGAGUCGCUAGUAAUCGCAGAUCAGCAACGCUGCGGUGAAUACGUUCCCGGG